CUCAGUUCGGAUUGGAGUCUGCAACCCGACUCCAUGAAGCUGGAUUCGCUAGUAAUCGCGCAUCAGCCACGGCGCGGUGAAUACGUUCCCGGGCCUUGUACACACCGCCCGUCAAGCCAUGGAAGCCGGGGGUGCCUGAAGUGCGCUGCCGCAAGGAGCGUCCUAGGGUAAAACUGGUGACUGGGGCUAAGUCGUAACAAGGUACC
rnacentral:rRNA from 1 species